AUGGACACCGCCAUAGGCGCGGCCAAGUGGGUGCUGGAGAAGGCGCUGGCCCCGGUCACGGAUGGCUUGCUAGAGUCCUGGGCGGCUAGUGCCGAUCUAGAUCGCAACAUCGACGCCCUCAAGAUGGAGCUACUGUACGCACAUGGGAUGCUCGAGAACGUGCAGGGCAAGGGCAUCCAUGGCGUCGCGCUCAAGGAGCUCCUGCGCAAGCUGCAGCAGCUCGCGUACGGGGCUGAUGAUGUGCUGGAUGAGCUGGAGUACUUCCGCAUCCAGGACUCACUUAAAGGAACCUACCAUGCCGCCGGUGUGAACGAUGUGGGUUGCAUCCAAGGCAUCCGCACCAAUAUUGAACACACGGCGAGGCAUGCCAUCAGCAAACUCGAGUGCCUCCCGUGCUUGGGUGCUGCUAGCCGUGGUGGUGACCAAGAAAUUGAUCCAGGUGAUCACCAAGAUUAUGACCUCUUAGGCAUACGCUUGCGUGGCAGGCGGGGCAUCGGCUCCUCGCCACUGACACCCACCAACAAGGCAGGUGUCAAUAAAGUUGAUGGUGGAUGCAUGCCCAGGGUCAUCUCAAGUGCUCGCAACGCUGCCCACACUUUCGGUAAACACUUUCCAUGCUAUUCUUCCAUAUCUGUCCAUGGUGAUGGUGCUCAAGCUAUCAUGUCUGAGUGUGCAAGCGAGAGAGAUAUAGAAACAAAAGAAUUGAUGUUUGAUAGGGUGCAAAUGUCUCGAACAAUGAUUGACAUGGUAGGGCAGCUGAAGGAAGUAUGUGCUAAGGUCUCCAUAAUUCUUAAUCUAGAUUUGUUGGGAUCCAGCCACAACCGUACCCAAGAAAUUGCUAUAAAAAGAUCAAAAACCACAUCAGAGAUUAUAGAAUAUGAGUUAUAUGGGAGGGAUGACCAAAAAAAGAAAAUUAAAAAUGGCAUUAUUAGUCAUGAGUACUGUCCCAAACAACUUAACGUGCUUCCAAUUUUCGGACCAGGGGGUAUUGGAAAAACAACUUUUACGCAACACAUAUGCCAAGAAGUGAAUAGCUCUUUCCAGGCUUCAAUUUGGAUUUGUGUCUCUCUCGAUUUCAAUGCAGAUAGGUUGGCACAAGAGAUAGUCAACAAAAUUGAUAGAGUUGAUAAUGAAAAGCAGAAUGCUAGUGUCGAAGAACUUAUCAAGCAAAGAUUAAAAGCUAAGAGAUUUUUACUCGUCUUGGAUGAUGUGUGGGCAUAUCAAGAGGAUGAGUGGGAAAAACUAAUGGCACCUUUCAGAAAGGUAGAGUCCAAGGGUAAUUUGAUUGUAGUCACAACUCGAAUACCAAAGGUAGCAGAAAUGGUUAGGACAACCAAUCAUAAAAUAGAACUGGAAAGACUGGGUGAUGCAGAUACCAUGCGUUUCUUUGAAGCAUGUGUAUUUGGUAACGAGCUACAACCAUGGGAAAAACAUUAUGAAUUAUCUGAGACUGGUCGUGAAGUAGUGCACCAUUUGAAAGAUUACGAAUUUGAUAGCAAGGAGUUAGUUCAACUGUGGAUAGGACUAGGUAUUUUGCAUCCAUGUGAUCAGAAUAAAAGGAUUGAAGAUGUUGGACUAGGCCAUUUGCAUGAGUUGGUCAAUUACGGGUUUUUCAAGAAAGACAAAAGAAAAGAUGGUCGUUAUUGUUAUGUUGUUCAUGAUCUACUGCAUGAAUUGGCCACCAAGGUUUUGUCAUAUGAAUGUGUUAGCAUAUCUAGUUCUAAUGUCAGGUCCAUACACAUCUCCCCAUCUGAUUUGAGUGCAUUAGGUAAACGACUGAAAGUUGAAAACCUACGUACUCUGAUGUUGUUUGGACAAUACCAUGGAAGCUUCGCCAAGACCUUUUGUGAUCUGUUUAGGAAAGCUAAAGCCCUUCGCACAAUUGUUCUAUCUGGAGCAUCAUACUCUAUGGAAGACAUUCUGCCUAACUUUUCAGAAACCAUCCAUCUUCGUUACCUUAGGAUUGAGCCAUCACGUAACAUAUGCAACAUCAAUUUGCCUGAUAUGUUGUUCAGAUUUUAUCAUCUAGAGAUACCAAAACUGACCAAGUGGGCUGGAAAUCAAAAUUGUGGGUUCUUCUUCCACCUGGAAGUGCUCAUUAUUGAAGAUUGCCCUGAACUUAAGGAGUUGCCAUUUUCAUGUUCUACUUGCUCUCAACCAAUGCAAGAAGGGGAGAAGUUGACUUGGUUCCCUAGACUACGGGAGCUCAAGAUUGUAAGAUGCCCAAACCUGAGGACAAUGCCUCCUAUCCCUUGGACACGUACUCUAUGCUCCAUUAAGAUAGCAGAAGCAGGCUCGGAUUUUCAGGAGCUCGCUUACUCAAGUAGUCAUUUUAGAAAACCAGGAUAUCGUUUGGUCAUUGAUGCAGAGGAUGGCAAAGAUAGCUUGUUUUGGAAUGAGUUGGCUUUCUGUAAUUUUAGUGAUGUAAAAGAGUUGAUUAUAAGAGAUUGCCCUCCUUUGCCCUUGGAUAUCAUCCAAAUGCUAACAUCUCUGGAGUACAUCAGUAUAGUCGGUCAUUCGAUUAUUGUACAGUGUCCAGUCGGAGGCGAGAGCCAUGUCACGCACCAGGUUCCAGUUGAAGAAGUGUCCAUUAGUAAUAGUGGUGCUAGCGGGAGAGAAUUGACUCAACUGCUCUCUCAUUUCCCGAAGCUCACCAGCCUGAGUAUAAAUGAUUGCGAAAAGAUAACAGAACUUGGUGUGUCGGAUCAGCAGAGUGGAUCACAGCAGCAAGAGACGAAAGAAGAGAAGGAAAUAGUGGCGACGGUAGAAGGAGGACUGCUGUUCUUGCCUACCCAACUACAGAAGUUGAUCCUCCAAAAUUGCCGUCAGCUGAGAAUAUUUCCCAAUUCAGGAGGUCUCCAGCGUCUACACUCCCUCCGCGAAUUGAGUGCAUAUAAUUGCCCCAAUUUGCUUUCAUCCUAUUCGGGCUCCUCGUCUGGUUUCCCUUUCCCGACCUCCCUGGAACAACUCACACUAUCCAACCAGGAAGAACUCGCAAACCUAAGAUUCAGCAGUUCCUCAAGACUGCAUACCCUAUCAAUAGAUGACUCCUCCGGACUUUUGUCAGAGUCCAUCUGCAGCCUGCUCUCCACCUCCCUCACCAGAUUGGUCUUUUUGGGUAGCAAAGAGGUGGAGCCCAUCCCAGGAGAGGCCCUCCUGCUUCUCACCUCCCUCCAAGAGCUCGCAUAUUGUUUCUGCAACAAAUUGCAGUUCCUCCCUGCAGGUCUACAUACACUUGCCAGCAUCAAGUACUUAUCUAUCAGUGAAUGCCCAUCUCUCCAGCUGCUGCCCAAGGACGGCCUCCCAAGUUCUCUGCAGAAAUUAGAGAUCUCUGGAUGUUCCAUGAAAGCAUUGCCCAAGGACGGCCUCCCGAGUUCUCUGCAGCAAUUAGAGAUCUACGAUUGUUCUGAGCUCGAAUUGCUUCCCACUUUUUCGGAUGGCCUCCCAACGUCUCUGCAAAAAUUAGAGAUCGCGAAUUGUCCUGCCAUCAAAUCAGUGCCCAAAGACGCCCUCCCGAGUUCUCUGCAGGAAAUAGUGAUCAAGGGCUGCCCCGGCAUCAAAUCGCUUCCCGAGGACAGGCUCCAAAAAUCCCUGCGAGUAUUAGAUGUCCGUGCUGACAAUAGCGAGGAGCUUAAAAGGCAGUGUCGCAGGUUAAUAGGGGAAAUUCCAAUAAUCAUAACCUCACGAAUCCUUCCAAGUGUAGCAAGUUUCAGAGACAAUUCCAGUAUAGUCAAUUCUGACAAAACCAAGGGCUUGCUUUUUGCCCUUUCGAUUUAUGCAUCCUCUAGCCUGGUUGAAAAACUCAGACACUCGGUCCUCGGACACUCAGUUGCCAGUGCGAGCAUGAAUAGCAUCUUACAUUCUGUGCAUGAUCUGGGCUCUACCUUGGAUUUGCAUAGUUUUGUGCCAUUCAAGGACUCGCUCGAUCCAUCCAUGCAGAGUUCUCACAUGAGGGUCUUGUGGCAUCCCCUGCCUGUACAUAAAUCUGGAUUCCAUCCUGGAACUAUACAUUUUUGCACACUUGUAGUAUUCACUCCAACACUUGAAAGGUUCUGGGAACUACCAGCAAUCAACCCGGGUAAACGGCGUGGUCCUGUCGGUCCAGGCAUACCUGGACUAAAUGUGCUCUCGCAAAUGGUUUUCGAGUUCACUAUGCUUCCACAACCUUUUCAUAAGUUUACAUUUUCAGCCUCAUCGGUACUUGGCAUUGCAUUUCCUACAUUGGGAUCUAGCAUACUCCGCCGGUACAUCCGAACCCCUUGUGGAGUUUCUCACUAA
rnacentral:rRNA from 1 species